UACGGAGGGUGCAAGCGUUGUCCGGAUUCAUUGGGUUUAAAGCGCGUGUAGGCGGCUCGGUAAGUCUGCUGUGAAAGUCCAGGGCUCAACCCUGGGAUGCCGGUGGAUACUGUCGAGCUCGAGUCCGGAAGAGGCGAGUGGAAUUCCUGGUGUAGCGGUGAAAUGCGCAGAUAUCAGGAGGAACACCAAUGGCGAAGGCAGCUCGCUGGGACGUGACUGACGCUGAGACGCGAAAGCGUGGGGAGCAAACAGG
rnacentral:rRNA from 1 species